rnacentral:RNase_P_RNA from 2 species
GGACCGAUUCAGACGAUCGCUCUCAGGAUAGGAAUGUCCCGAAGGGAGGAAAGUCCGAGCACAGGCAUUCGCAAGGAUGCAGCAGGGUAGCGGGUAACGCCCGUCCGCGGAAACGCGCGAGGUGCGAGCAGUGACGUCAAACGCGAAAGCGCGCGACAACCUUCGGGUUGAAGUCCAUCGAAAGGUGGAAGUGAAACGGCUAAAUCCUUACUUCUGUGCAAGGCCGUAUCGAUAAUCUUCGGAUAUGUCGAGGCGCCGCUUGAGGUGUACGGUAACGUACAUCCCAGAUAGAUGAUCGUCCGUGUAGCAAUACGCGACAGAACUCGGCUUAUCGAAUCGGUAUCCAC